UGGGGAAUUUUGGACAAUGGGCGAAAGCCUGAUCCAGCAAUGCCGCGUGUGUGAAGAAGGCCUUCGGGUUGUAAAGCACUUUUGCUCCGGAAAGAAAUCCUUGGCUCUAAUACAGUCGGGGGAUGACGGUACCGGAAGAAUAAGCACCGGCUAACUACGUGCCAGCAGCCGCGGUAAUACGUAGGGUGCAAGCGUUAAUCGGAAUUACUGGGCGUAAAGCGUGCGCAGGCGGUUUGCUAAGACCGAUGUGAAAUCCCCGGGCUCAACCUGGGAACUGCAUUGGUGACUGGCAGGCUAGAGUAUGGCAGAGGGGGGUAGAAUUCCACGUGUAGCAGUGAAAUGCGUAGAGAUGUGGAGGAAUACCGAUGGCGAAGGCAGCCCCCUGGGCCAAUACUGACGCUCAUGCACGAAAGCGUGGGGAGCAAACAGGAUUAGAUACCCUGGUAGUCCACGCCCUAAACGAUGUCAACUAGUUGUUGGGGAUUCAUUUCCUUAGUAACGUAGCUAACGCGUGAAGUUGACCGCCUGGGGAGUACGGUCGCAAGAUUAAAACUUCAAAGGAAUUGACGGGGUCAUAGCUG
rnacentral:rRNA from 1 species